AUUUUUGCAACUUCACUUAUGUUUCUUCUUACCGGCGAUUAUUUCUUUCGCAUUCCACUCUUUCUCAACGCCUCGCCUUCUCCUCCUCCUUCGCUUUCUCCUCCUCCUUUGCCUUCUUUUCCUCCUGUCGGCUUCGCAUGAGGGGUUUUUUAAAGAGUCGCUAAAAGGAACUUAUUGGCCUUCGGACAACAUUUGCUCUUUUUGAACCUGCGAGAUGACAGGAAAUGUUGUAGGCCCUAUUACCGAAGGCGAACGAGCCUCCUCUCGAACUGGAAAGAUUUUCACGCAGGGCCUGGGAAGACAUUCAUUACUGUGACGCUGCUGCGAUCUUACACCAAUUGUAUCAGAAAACCCUCUAAAUACAUUGCAGUCUUUUUGGUGCCAACAGUGAUUUUGUUUCAGCAAGAAAACUUGAAAUAUUAAAAAAUAUAUCUUAUCGUUUAGGAA